rnacentral:snRNA from 1 species
AGCUGCGUGGUGAGCACAUAGCGAACUAUUCUUUCGCCUUUUACUAAAGAAUACCGUGUGCACGCCACACUAAGCAGCAUACGCUAAUUUUUGGAGGGUGUUUUCUCUUUCUUUGAGAAGA